rnacentral:sRNA from 2 species
GCGAAGCGAGAGAACGUUGCCGCAGGCAAUGGCCCGAAGGCGAGGCGCUUUAGCGCCGAGUAAUCCUUCCCCCACCACUU